UCAGGGGCACGCUGGAGUUCCCAUGAGUACCAGGGGAUAACUGGUAUACAAGUUCUCUAACUGGUCACUCUUACUGCCAACUUGAUUCUUAUAUUGCUUCCUCUAGCUGGACAAGAAAAAGGAAUCCCUCACCCAGGCGGUGGGCCUCAGCACACAAGCAGAAGGGACCCGGACAUUAAAGUAAGGCCGAGUGUUGAGGCCUGGGCAGUGUGGGCUGUGGUUCUUCCGUCUGUGGCUCCGCCAUGUUUGUCCAACAUUACCCAUACCUGCCGCUCCAGGUCCCUCCUGAUGUUCACCAUGGAGAACUGCUUCUAUCUGCUCAUCUCCCAAGCAGUACGCUACCUCAGGGACCCGGCUGUGCACCCCCGGGACAAGCAGCGGAUGAAGCAGGAGCUGAGCUCAGAGCUGGUAUGGAUGUAGGGCUGGCCAGCGGGGAAGGCUGUGUGGAUGCCACCUGUCUUGUCAUUUGGGGUCAGCAACAGUGGCCCGGGAUCUCAUUAAUCUGAUGCUUUUCUUGCAGAGCACAUUGCUUUCCAGCCUCUCACGUUACUUCAGAAGGGGAGCCCCCAGCUCCCCUGCUGCUGGAGUCCUGCCCUCACCACAGGGCAAAGCCACCUCUCUAUCCAAAGCUAGCCCAGAGUCUCAGGAGCCUCUGAUCCAACUUGUGCAAGCCUUUGUCCGGCACGUGCAGAGAUAGGGCAAAGGAGGGCUGUCUACUUGCUGCUCCCUCCCAGCCUGCACUGCAGCCUGGGCAGAGGCUGCUGCCACUGAGCAAGCCACUCCCUUCGUCCUCCUCACGCCCGCCCGCUGACAUUAUUUUUAUAUAGCUGAAGAGGUCAACAGCACGGGCAGAGGACAAAGGGUCUGGGUGCUCAGACUGACAGCACCCUAAGGUGGCCCCGUCCUCUGAGCGUUCCCGUGGCACUUAACCAGCCAGGGAGGCCCAGGGUGCCGCAGCACAGGAGAGACCUGUGUGAGUGAGGGUUUUCCAUGAUCUAUUCUUGCAGUUUUUUUGAUAAUACUGUGGUCUAUUUAUACAAAUAUUAAAAGUGCUGUUUAUAGACUGGG
rnacentral:lncRNA from 1 species